GCAUCUGUGGUUUAGUGGUAAAAUUAACGCUUGCCAUAAGAUCUCUGACUGGUUUAUCCUUCAGAUGACCCUAGCAAACUGUGUUAGCCCCGGGUUCGAUUCCCGGCAGAUGCA